CCUACGGGAGGCAGCAGUGGGGAAUAUUGGACAAUGGGCGAAAGCCUGAUCCAGCCAUGCCGCGUGUGUGAUGAAGGCCUUAGGGUUGUAAAGCACUUUUGUCCGGGAAGAUAAUGACUGUACCGGAAGAAUAAGCCCCGGCUAACUUCGUGCCAGCAGCCGCGGUAAUACGAAGGGGGCUAGCGUUGCUCGGAAUCACUGGGCGUAAAGGGCGCGUAGGCGGACUCUUAAGUCGGGGGUGAAAGCCCAGGGUCUCAACCCUGGAAUUGCCUUCGAUACUGAGAGUCUUGAGUUCGGAAGAGGUUGGUGGAACUGCGAGUGUAGAGGUGAAAUUCGUAGAUAUUCGCAAGAACACCAGUGGCGAAGGCGGCCAACUGGUCCGAUACUGACGCUGAGGCGCGAAAGCGUGGGGAGCAAACAGGAUUAGAUACCCUGGUAGUCCGACGCCGUAAACGAUGAAUGCCAGCCGUUGGGGUGCAUGCACCUCAGUGGCGCAGCUAACGCUUUAAGCAUUCCGCCUGGGGAGUACGGUCGCAAGNUUAAAACCUUAAGGAAUUGACGG
rnacentral:rRNA from 1 species